UACGUAGGGGGCAAGCGUUAUCCGGAAUGAUUGGGCGUAAAGCGUCCGCAGGUGGCAGUUCAAGUCUGCUGUCAAAGACCGGGGCUUAACUUCGGAAAGGCAGUGGAAACUGAACAGCUAGAGUAUGGUAGGGGCAGAGGGAAUUCCUGGUGUAGCGGUGAAAUGCGUAGAUAUCAGGAAGAACAUCGGUGGCGAAGGCGCUCUGCUGGACCAUAACUGACACUCAGGGACGAAAGCUAGGGGAGCGAAUGGG
rnacentral:rRNA from 1 species